GGGGAUUUGGCUCGUGGUAGAGCGCUUGCCUAGGAAGCACAAGGUCCUGGGUUCGAUCCCCAGCCCUG
rnacentral:tRNA from 1 species